GCGGCUCCGCGGGUCCUGCCGCCCUCCCGCGGCGACAACGGGGCUCCCGUGUCCCGCCCACCUUCCCUCCCCAAAAAUCCACGGGUGUUGUGGGCCCUGCCGCUGGCAGAGGCCUCGUGUAGGCCAGAACUCCUCAGGGAAUCGGGAGGGUCCCGGCUGGCCGCGGUGGGAAGCGGGGCGGCAGCUUCAUCGGCCGCGGAGGCACGUGGUGAUUGGUGUGAAGAGGCCUCUGCGGGGGAUGAGCCCGGGAUGCACGAGGUAAUAAUGGACAUCACAAGUGGGAAUGCGGAUGACAUUUCAAGGCCUGCAUCUGGCUCAAAACCCAGUUGUAGAUCUUUAAAUACAUCUAUGGAGUUACUAACACCAGAGCCACAUAUGCAAAAGGUUGAUUCACUUGUCAGUGUGGCUGAUGGUUAUCAGAGAGGCAGUCUAGAAGAUUGCUGUCCAGCAAAAAACAAAAGAGAGAAAUGUGAUGUCCAGGAAGUAAGAACAGAUCAGCAAACCACAAUGGAGAGUAUGACCUUCUGUCUUCAGAAAUGUAUACAGAAUCCCAACGAGUUGUCAGGAUGUAGCUCUAAUUCAGAUUGUGGAGACACUGAAACACAGACUCUGACAUUCUGUGAACCUUCCCAAGGAAAACCAAGUGAUGCAAAAUCAGCAAACUUGAAGUGUUCUGAAGACACAGAUGUAGAUCCUCAGAUUCAAGCAGCUAUAAAGAAAAUGAAUAAACUUGACACAAUACUUGAAAACCAACAUCUUAAGGAGAAAGGAAUUAAAAAACAAGGCAAAGAAAUGAGGGCAGUGCUCUGGGAAGAACUUCAGUCUAUCAGAACCAUAGGAGGCCAUGAGGAGAUAGAAAACACAAACAGUUUUUUAGCUUUGUUCUCAACAUGGCAGGAUACAGCUGAUCCCUCCCAUACUAAAGAAAAUGAAAUAUGUACUUCAGUAAUUCACACACAAAUGAAUCCAGAAGAUUGUGAUUGUCAUAAAGCCCAAAAAAGCAAGGAUUAUCCAAGUGAAUUAGAAACAGAAUUAGAAAAAACAGUGGAGAAAACACAUAGCAAAAAUAAAAGCAACCAGGAUUUCAUUAAAAAGAACAUUGAGCUAGCAAAGGAUUCAGGAAACCAGUUUGUUAUGCUUGAGGGAGAAAGGAAAAGGCUAAUUGAACUGUUGAAAGAUACAGAAGAUGACAUUGAAUUGCAAGGUCUUGAGGAGAAUGUAUCUGUCUGGCUAGCCCCAGGAGAAGGGUACACACCUGAACCGACAGAAUUUCAUCUCCUAAAUGAAAUAGACAUUAAGCUUCAAGCACUACUAUCUGAUGGGGAUUUUUCUGCAAUUUCCAGCCCUUACUCAAAAGCUCCAAGCCAGAUUUAUCAGGAGUCUCUGGUUUAUGCCAACAGAAGCCUAGAAACAGUUCCAGGUGAAAAGGUUCUCCGGGACAAUAAGGAAAAACGUGAUCAACAGAAUCGUCUGAAAGAAAUAGAUCACCAACUGGAAUCCCUAGAGAGAAAUCUUACCGAAGAACAAAUGAGCCUCUCUGAAGAGCAGCUUAAGACCCUUCUGGAAGAAUGUGUGCAGCCUCAGAGAACAAUAAGUUACGUUACCAUGCCAAAGUCUCAGGAAUCUCUUUCUUUUGGAUUAAGUCCCCCUUGUUACACAAGUCAAGACUCCACUCUUCACUCCACAUCUACUCUUUCCAAAAUGUUAGUUGAAGACCAUAUUGUAGAGAUGUUAAUGGCUCAGGAAAAGGCUGGACUCGAAGACAAAAGCUUGUGUGCAGAGAGUGAAAUCCCUGGCUACUAUAUCGGCAAAGCAUUGGCUGGUAGUCACUUAUCAAAGGAUUCACUGGCCCAAACAGAGGAACCUGAUGACCUAGAAGGUUUACAGAAGAUGGGAGAUAAGAGUAUUACUGAAGGUUACUUUAUGUCAAGAGCACUCAACACAAAAAGAUUGAAGAAACCUUCUUUCCUGGAUGAACCAUUAUAUUGCAUCAGCAUGAACAAUGAGCCAUGCACAGAGGCUGACAUUCCCAGCAUACCACUGCAAACCAAAGGAGAUUUUUAGCCUAAGACUACUUCUCUUCCUGUAAAGCCAGCUGUUCAAAUAAGCCAGAUUUUAGGCAGGUGAUAUGAACACUGAAAAUUGAGGGGAGAGUGACUGUAUGCUUCUUUGCACAACUAUUUUUCUGCGAGUGUGGUUAAACCUCCAUCAGUGAUAUUAUUCUGAUUCAGUGUAAUUUCAAGGAACCUGAAGGGUAUGAAUUAUCAUCAUUGCAAAUGUUCCAUGAGUUGACUUAUUCUUAAAAGAGAUAAUUAUUAUUAUCAUUAUUAUACAGUGUUGAAGUUUGAUUUCAAAAUAAACUCUUGCAUUUCAUUAAAUACCUAAGAAAUAAAUGUACGCACACAAUUUUGUAGCUGUGCGUCUGAUAGAUAUGCAUGUCUUUGUUUGUGAAAAAUGUAAAAUAAAACUUGGAAAGUUCA